rnacentral:rRNA from 1 species
GAUGAACGCUGGCGGCGUGCCUAAUACAUGCAAGUCGAGCGAACAGACGAGGAGCUUGCUCCUUCGACGUUAGCGGCGGACGGGUGAGUAACACGUAGGUAACCUACCUAUAAGACUGGGAUAACUUCGGGAAACCGGAGCUAAUACCGGAUAAUAUUUCGAACCGCAUGGUUCGAUAGUGAAAGAUGGCUUUGCUAUCACUUAUAGAUGGACCUGCGCCGUAUUAGCUAGUUGGUAAGGUAACGGCUUACCAAGGCAACGAUACGUAGCCGACCUGAGAGGGUGAUCGGCCACACUGGAACUGAGACACGGUCCAGACUCCUACGGGAGGCAGCAGUAGGGAAUCUUCCGCAAUGGGCGAAAGCCUGACGGAGCAACGCCGCGUGAGUGAUGAAGGUCUUCGGAUCGUAAAACUCUGUUAUUAGGGAAGAACAAACGUGUAAGUAACUGUGCACGUCUUGACGGUACCUAAGCAGAAAUCCACGGCUAACUACGU